rnacentral:piRNA from 1 species
UGUCUUUAAGAUGAAAGCCAUACCUU